rnacentral:rRNA from 1 species
GCUUACAGCCAGAUUACACUGAAAGCACUGGUUCUUGUUUGAUCACCAAACUUAAGCAAUAUUGAGCCUCGUUAGUGCUUAGACAGGUAACCGCUUGAGAAAACUAAGUGCUGUGAGCU